UGUAAUCAAAGUAACCAAUGGUGGUUGCAAAUAAUAUAUAGACAGACAAGAAUUGUAUUUAUAGAAGGGUUUAUUUAUUUACAGACAAUUUAUGGACAAAUGGGGAUGUGGGUGGCGCUGUGGGUUAAACCACAGCCUUCGAAUCCCUGCGACAGGGUGAGCUCCCGUUGCUCGGUCCCAGCUCCUGCCAACCUAGCAGUUCGAAAGCACCUCAAAGUGCAAGUAGAUAAAUAGGUACUGCUCCGGCGGGAAGGUAAACGGCAUUUUCAUGCACUGCUCUGGUUUCACCAGAAGCGGCUUAGUCAUGCUGGCCACAUGACCUGGAAAAACUGUCUGCGGACAAACACCGGUUCCCUCAGCCUACAGAGCGAGAUGAGCGCGCAACCCCAGAGUCGUUCGUGACUGGACUUAAUUGUCAGGGGUACCUUUACCUUCAGCAGCAGUUACAUUGUUACAAGCUUGGGGGAAUGACCCCCUCCCCACCUUAAACCCAAUAUAUUAAUAAAUGCCAAGAUUUUGCGGGUGGCACUGUGGGUUAAACCACAGAGCCUAGGACUUUCCGAUCAGGUCAGCGGUUCGAAUCCCCGCGACGGGGUGAGCUCCCGUUGCUCGGUCCCUGCUCCUGCCCACCUAGCAGUCUGAAAGCACGUCAAAGUGCAAGUAGAUAAAUAGGUACUGCUCCGGCGGGAAGGUAAACAGCAUUUUACCUUUUAUGGACAAAUGUGUAAGCAGAACAACAAUAUAUAGAAUGGAUAAAGACAAUGUGAAAAAUUUGGAAGCGACAUAAAGAAGUCAGAAGUAGUCAGCUCAUAGGAGCACACUAUAAAUGUAAAAUGUAAUAUAAUAUGUAUUUGAAGUAUAAAGUUUGGAAAGCUAAUAAAGAUUAUAUUUUAAAAAAAAAAAAAACCGAUGCUCCGCCAAAGAAGGUAAGAGGCGGCCCCUGGGUGGGCAGGGAGGACUACGAUUGGUGCAUCUCCGCCGGUGGCACUGCGUGAUUGAUCGCUUGGCUGGUGCCGAGUGUGCCCGGGAAAACGCCGCCUGCCGCUUCUUAGCUGUGGCUGAUCUCUUCAACAGGGUCAUCAUGCACUCCUACAGAAUCUACCGGCUCUCCACAACCCUCUACUGACAAUUUAACCAGUCUGAGACAUAGCACAUGUGACAAGCUAACAAAUGCCCCCCUCCUGCCCCACUGGGUUUCCGGUGUGGCCUUGGACAGAUACUGGCACAAAUUGGGGAGGGGGGUGUUAUA